rnacentral:rRNA from 1 species
GUAGUCCACGCCGUAAACGAUGAGUGCUAAGUGUUGGAGGGUUUCCGCCCUUCAGUGCUGCAGCUAACGCAUUAAGCACUCCGCCUGGGGAGUACGGUCGCAAGACUGAAACUCAAAGGAAUUGACGGGGGCCCGCACAAGCGGUGGAGCAUGUGGUUUAAUUCGAAGCAACGCGAAGAACCUUACCAGGUCUUGACAUCUUCUGACAAUUCCAGAGAUGGAACGUUCCCCUUGCGGGGACAGAAUGACAGGUGGUGCAUGGUUGUCGUCAGCUCGUGUCGUGAGAUGUUGGGUUAAGUCCCGCAACGAGCGCAACCCUUAUUGUCAGUUGCCAUCAUUAAGUUGGGCAC